CGCCAUGUUAUAAACCUAUAUGACCUCAAUAAUUAAAAAAAAAAAGAAUUAAGCAACAACAAUUUUUAAAAAGUCAAAAAAAAUGUAGUUGUCUUGGGUACCAUUUUCCCUCACGACCUGUCUGAAAGGUCACUGGUGGAAUUCGACCCCUAGCCCCCACCUGAGGGCUUGAUUUCAACGAAGUCCAGUGCAAGCUUGAUAUCUGACCCCAAAAAAGGCUCUUUACUCCCUUCCUACCCUAGACUGGACUCCGUGACGUUCUCGUAUCGUGUUCCGUGGACUCAUCGGCCUCCACCCAUCCCCGGCUGUGCUGAGCCCACCCUUCUCCAGUGGCACCUCCUUCAGGAAGCCCUCCCUGCAGAGCCCCAUGCAGACACUCCCUCCAGGCCCGUCCCGUUCUUCCAAACAGAAUACUAAGUCUGGCCCUUGUAGCUCCGUGGGAGGAAAGAGUUGAUCCACUGAUUGAUUGGCUGAUGGGUUAAUUCGUUCGUUAAUUCACUCAGCAGUGUUUGUUGAGUGCCUCUCCCGUACCAGUCACGGUAGCUUUCUCUUAUCCUCCCCGCAGUGAGGUGGCCGGCACAUUGUACGGGAAGAAACGAUGCCUGAAUUUCGGGUACAGAGGCCCAAACCUGGAGGAGACAUUUGGGAGUCGGGUUACUUUCUGACUCUGCUGAUGUGUCUGUUGCCCACGUGGAAGGUGCUGCUGCUGCUUUCUGGUCUAUAAGGAAGGGAGGGAGGCAGGGAGAGAUGAGAGAGUGUGCAUGUGUGUGGACGUGCUUGUGUGAGCCUGUGCCUGGGGUUGUGCGUGUGUCUGUAAAGGGUGCGGCACGUCAGGAGUGUGCAGAGUUACCCUGGUCCCUGAGGAAGAGGGGAGAAUUAACUACAGGGAGGAAGAGGGGCAAAGGCCCAGUGGUGUGAAAACUUGGGCUGGGUUUAGGGAGCAGGGAGAGGCUGGAUCAUAGGGUGCAGGGUGGUGGGGAACAGGAAGUGAGGCUGGACAGUGGGCAGGAUCCAGUUGUAGAAAACUCUGACAUCACAGCCAAGUCCUAACCAUCCCCCAAGGCCACCUCCUCCAGGAAGCCCUCUGUUGUAGACCUUUGUUGUUUUGGUCUCCUGAGCACCCUCCCCUUUGUUUCCUAUGGGAGCUCAUUGCAUUUGGCUGACCCUGCCUUCCGACUGCUUCAAAGAUGGGCAUGACAUCCAAGCCAGAUAAACCAGAUUCUUCUCUGGGACUUUUCUGUCCAGCCUCUUGGAGGAUCACUACCAAGUAAGCAGGAUGUGAAUUUAGGGCUUCUGGUGGCCCCUGGCCUGAAGAACAAAAUCAGAGCCAAGACAUGUAGUGAGGCAGAGCCCUGGUGUGUUUUUCAGAGCUACUGGAUCCAGCUAUGCCUGAAGCUGCUUAUACCCUGGAGCUCCCAGUUACAUGCACUCAAUCACUUGUUCAUUCAACAAAUAGUUCUCAAAUGCCUGCUGUGUUAGUCAGGGUUCUCCAGAGAGACAGAACCAAUAAGAGACACGUAUAUAUGAACAGAUUUACUACAGGAAUUGGCUCAUGUGAUCCUGGGCUCCAUCGGUCACUUGGGGACUGUCAGCUCCCUUCAUUUCAUACACCCUGCUGAGGCACGGACGGCCAUGUCCAUUCUCAGGUGGAGAAAGCGAGGCUCUGACCACCCUCCCCAAACCCACUGCGGCCUGGUGGGUCUUUCCAUGGCUCCUGGUUCCCACGAUGCCCUAACUCCCUCCUCUGGGGUCUGCAGAGGCCUGUGUCCUGGGGGAGGCCCGGCCGCCAGCACCCCUUGCUCUGAUGGUCAGACUGGCAGCCCCUGAACCGAGACCCCCACAGCCCAGAAGCCCCUCUGCAGAGCCACUGCAGCCCCUAGAAAACAUGCUGGCCGGGAGGGCCUUCAGCCCGGCUCCCACCCCGACUGGAGCUGGGAGCUCCCUGGACGUGGCCCUGCCAGGGCUCCCACCCCCUCACCUGCCCUGCUCUGCGCCCUGCGGCUCCUGGGGCCCAUCCUUCUCUGUGGUUCCAAGGGCCACCGUCCACUGCCCCUGGUGGGAGCUGCCGCCAGCCUGCGCAGCCUGGAUUCUAAGCUGGAGUUUGAAAUCGGUGAUUUGGUGCAGAUUUUGACUUCUCAGCUCAGCUGUGAGCUUGUCAGGGCAGGGACCCAGUUCCAGGUUCUUCUUCGCCUCUCUUAACCCCGGGAGACUUCGUGGCCCGAUCAGUGCUCUCAGAGGGGGUGUAUCGGUUCCCCGCGGCUGCCGUAACAAAUUACCACACCUCGACGGCUUAGAAUAAUGGAAAUGUAUUCUCCCCGGUUCUGGAGGCCACCGUCCGGCAUCAAGGCCGGGUUGGCUCCUCCCUGAGCUCUCUGCCAGCUUCCAGGGCCACCCGCUGUCCUUGGUUUAUGGCUGUAUCCCUCUGAUCUUGGCCUCGUCUUCACAUGGGCCCCCCCGCCGUGUGCCUCUGUGUCUCCUUUUCCGUCUCUUCUGAGGACGCUGUCAUUGGAUUUAGGGCCCAGCCAACAUCCAGCCUGAUCUCAUCUCGAGACCCUUAAUUUGGUUACAUUGGCAAAGACCCUAUUUCCAAGUAAGUUCCCGUUCACAGGUAGUGGGGGUUAGGAUGGCAACGUGGCUUUCUGGGGUCACCCAUCAGCCCAGUGCAGAUGGGAAAACACAGGCCCAGAGGAGAAAGGACUUGCUGGGGACCCCACAGCGCCAAGGGCAGCCAGGGGCCUGCUGCUCUCCUGAAACGGGGUUGGGUCUCUCUCUCAGCGCACGCUGCCCAUCUCCGGAGUCCCUGGGAAAGCCCUCGGUGGAAGCCAUCUGGAGACUGUCUGGGCUCCGGGGAGCCUACCCUUUCCCGCACGGAAAGCCCAGAAUGUGGUCAUAGAAGGGAGUUUCCUUCUUGGGUUGGCUCCCUGCCUGGGGCCCUGGCUGCCGUGCAGGCCCCACUCUGGGGAUGAGUCCAAUUCACGCCUGCCCGGAGCCCCUGCUCCCGUCCCCUGCUCUGAGGAGGCCAAAGGUAGCUCUGGACACAUGGGGACAGGAGAGGAGCGAGGUCCCCCUGACCUUGGGCUGCUUUCUUUCCAGGAACCACUCCUGCCUCUUUGGGGAGAGCGGGGAACGCAGCUUGGGACUUAGACUGAUGGAUCUGACUCUGUAUCCUCAGCUCUCAGAGGCCCAAGGCCUAGUGCUUAGGAUUCGGGCCUCAGAACCCAGACACGGGCUCAGGCCCCAGCUCUGCCAUGUGCGGAGCGUGUGGCCUUGGCCCAGCAAUUUUCCUCCCCUAGUCUCACGUUCUUAUUGAUAAAAGAGGGACAACAGCAGACCGAUCUCCUGGAGCCAUUAGAAGAAUCAGCCCCAGCGCCUGAAGCCAUCGUCACUUCCCUCGUGGGAUCAGGAGAGACGGCUGUUGUCACCGUGUGAGAUCCAUGGGUGCCUCUGACCAUGAGCUCAGGUCACGGAUAAAGUCAGGUGUCUGCUGUGAUCAAAUUACUAGGACUUCCAGCCCCCAGCUCUUCCGUGCUGGAAGGUUCUCUCUUCUUCCCAGGCAUCCUGCUAGUGCCAGUCAGCCCCCCGGGUUCGCUUUUCUGUGCACAUCGCAGUUCAGGUCCACACCUGGGGGCUGGCCUCCGCCGUGUGGAGCCGGUGCUGGUUGGAGAACUUCCGAGAGAAAGAGGCAGAGGGUCAGCAGCGGUCUGACGCCACACGCCUUCCGUGCCGGUCAGGACUGUGAGACAGAAGAGGCCUUUUCUUAAUAAAAUAACCUAAGAUCAGGCCCUAAGACCUGUCGCGAGGCCGAAUCUUUCUUCCGAUGUGCGAUGCCGUCCCCACGGCGUUCAGAGCGCAGGUCAGCAGUCCAGAUCCGAGGGCCAAGCUGCUGGCGAGGGCCACGGGGGUCUGGUCUCCUUAGCGAUGUGCUCAGGGCGCAGAUCAUGGGCAGGAAGGAGCAAGGGCCCGCUCCCUCCCUCCCACAGGACUUCUUGUCUCUCCCUCUCCAGCGCCCCUUGUGCUCUGCGUGACCCAGCAUGAGAUGGGGGUUCUGUGUCAGGCCAAACACUUGUCUCCUUUCCCAUGGACUUCUAGAACCUAAGGUUUGAGAGUAUGAGACUCUGGAACCUUAAGCACUAAGUGGUGGGGACAUCUCGGCAGCCGAGCUGUGGCCCGCUCCAGGCGCCGCCUUGGGUCUCCCUCUGCCAGCACCUCCUCACAGCCGUGUUAGAGAACCCAAACCCACAGACAGAAAGGGCUGGCGGCGUCAUCCUUACUGACAAGGUCACAGGGACCCCGAGGAGAUGAUCUUGACUGCGCAUUCGCCCGGUUUGCUCUGCCGCAGUCCCACGGCUGGCCAGUCCUCGCUCCCUGUGCCCUCCGACCUCUCCCCGGCUGCCCACCUCCUCCAUCACUGGGUCCCGUGCUUGUCCCGAGGCCUGAGUCUACUGCGCCAUCUGCCCGCUCUGCUCACGGAGGACAGGCCAGUCUAUCGCCAGGCCUGCUCCAUCCUCUCAGGAGUUCCGGUGUGUGACAUUUUCUCCAUCUCGCUAGAUUGGAAGCACAUGUACCUCGAGCCGUGGAAUUUAGGUCACUUGGGUCCAGCAGCAGUUCACUGCACUAGGAGCUGAUCACCAAGGAGAAAAGAUGACACAGAUGCAGGCCCGGCCCUGGCGUCACCGAGUGGUCCUUCUAGUUCUUCUAUGUGAGGCACCACCACAGCCUGGCUCCUGACAGACAGGUGGUGUGGUUCCAUGCUCGGGAGCUGAACGUGCGCCACCAAAUCUGAGCACACCCAACUUUAACCACUAGGCCAUCAGGCCUGGCUCAGGUCAUAGAUUCAAGAAUGUCAGCAAAGUUGGUGAUAGAAGAAGAGAAGGCCAGAGGUCAGGAUUCAGAGCCCAGCACUCCCCUGGGUGGCUCCACGGCCUUUGGACACAGUCACUGGGCAGGACUGAGGACUCUGCCCUUGGAGAGGAGUGGAAACCUGUGGUGCUUUGUCAGGGAUGUCGCAUCGCAUGAGGAAGGCAUUUUUUAACCCUAUUCCAAGAAGAAGGGUGGGCGUGUGUGUGCGCGUGUGUGUGAUGGGUAAAGGAUGGGAUGCAGUGGACACAUGUGGCUUCCGCCUGCCCAACACCCUCUCUGGGCCUUUUCUGGGAACAACGCCCCCUUCGUUGGGUAACUGCCUCUCCUCCACCCACGGGGUUCUGGUGAGUGUGUUAGCCAACAGCCCUCACCUUCACGCCCACCACCCUGUUACGGUCUGAAUGUCUGUGUCCCCCCACAACUCACGGGUUGGGAUCCUGCACGCAGUGUGGUGGGAUUCUGAGGCGGGGUCUUGGGGAGGUGAUCAGGUCAUGAGGGGGGAUCCUCCAUGAAUGGGACUAGUGUCCUUCUCAGAGACCCCACAGGGCUCCCUGGCCCCUUCACCGUGUGAGGACAUGGUGAGAAGUGGACACUGCAACCCAGAGGAGCACUGUCACCAGAGCCCUCCCAUCUGGCAGCCUGACCUUGACCUGCAGCCUCCAGAACCGUGAGAAAUAAAUGUUUGUUGUCUAUGAGCCACCUAG